AAAGACAGCAUUACAGAGACAGCAAGGCUCUGGGUGUUACCUGCCGCUGGGGUGAGGUCAGGGAAGAGGGACUGGUGGAGCCCAGGACUUUGGGGGUGAUGACUCAGUCCUGCUGAUACUGUAAUGAUUCAUACAUGUGGAGUUAUGUCCAGAACCAAAGAACACACGACACCGAGCACAGUCCUGAAGCCUGCAUCACGAUGAAGGAAGCAUAUGCAAAUGACCACAGGUCCAACCAGACCCGAAGAUCUGAGCCCCACUGAUGUUGACAUCGUGGGCAAGGGGACAGGGGAUAGCUCUGUGUGUCCUGACUAUCUGCUGCUUCAACAAAUAUGAUCGUUUGCACAUUCACCUACUGUGGCUGGAAGCAAUUCAUGGCACAUUUCAAACAGGAACGGAUGGUUACAUAUUUGCCAGCGAUGGCCUGGGAAGAAAUGUCCAAUGGACAGAGAACUGAGCAACUGUGGAAGAGAGCAUGAGGUGCUGUGCUCAUGGGGUUCAUCUUGAUCUUGGAAGGGUCUCCAUUCCAUGCCCAGCUGAACCCCAAAGUAUGGUCUCGUCAACUCAGCCAUAGAGGGUCCAACACAGAGAUACAGGAGCCAGUACAUCCGGAAGAUUCCCCCUUCUCCCUUACUCUGUCUCAGGCUCAGUGCCUGUUUGCUACGGCUGACAACAAGACACCACCAACCAACAAUAAACUUACAGCAGAAGUCUAUACUCAUUGACCUAUCAAGUAGGGUUGGGUCCCUCUGAGUGAGCUAAUUGUUCCCAACCUGUGGGUCACAACACCUUUGUAAGGGGUCAAAUGACUCUUUUGCAGGGGUUGAAUAUCAGAUAUUUAUGUUAUGAUUCAUUACAGUUAUGAAGUAGCAACAGAAAUAGUCUUCUGGUUGAGGGUGACCACAGCACGAAGAACUGUGUUAAAGGGAACACUAGCUGUGUUAGGAAGGUGAGAACCUCUGCAGCCUGAGGGCAUGGCUUGCCCUGACUUUACCAGAUGACUGGUAGCCACCCCCAGCCCCCUCAUGCCUGCAAGCUGGCCUCUCAUGUCUAUUUACCCCCAUCUUAAAUUAUUAUUACAAUUGCUUGACAAUUUCAUAAUUUACAUAAUAAACUGGAGUGGCUCUCCUGUCCUGUUCCCCUCUCUUACCCCUCCCUCUCCUAUGGGACCCUUCCUUCACCACACAUCCAUCUUACUCAGGCCUCUGUUUUGGGUGAGACCCACCGAUAACCAGGGCUGCUUGCCAGUGUGAGGGUGGAGGUGGUUUACUGCUCAGCUUCCCCAAGCCUGGCUCCUAUGGCUCCUUUCUCUGUUCUUCCCUCGGUCUCGGAGGGAGGGAUGCAGCUGCCACAUUGAAGGCUGAACACUCUGCCAUCUCUUAUUUUUGACACACUGGCCAGAUCUGGAUUUUCCCAAUAAUGUCCACUGUAACUCCCACUCACCGGCUCCAUGGAGGUAGACAUAGCGCUAAACCUCGGAUGGUGAUGGGAGUUGGGGCUGAAGAAUGGGUGCUUUUAAAAGAUUUCAUCUGUCUAUCUGAUCUAUCCAUCUAUCCAUCCAUUUAUCUAUCUACCUACCCAUCUAUCUAUCAUCUAUCAAUCACCUAUUUAUCUACCUACCUACCUGUCCAUCUAUCUAUCCACCUAUCUAUUUUCUUUCUAUAUCUAUUAUCUAUCUAUCUAUCUAUCUAUCUAUCUAUCUAUCUAUCUAUCUAUCUAUCUAUCGUCUAUAUCUACCCACCCACCCACUCGUCUAUUUUCUGUCUAUCCAUUCAUCUAUCUAUUUACCCAUCCAUUUUCUAUCUAUCUACUUGUCUGUCUGUCUACCUGUCUAUCCAUUCAUCUAUCUACCUACCUGUCUUUCCAUCCAUUUUCUAUCAUCUAUCUGCCUAUCUAUCUAUCUAUCUAUCUAUCUAUCUAUCUAUCUUAUCUAUCCAUCUAUUUUCUAUCUAUCCACCCACCCAUCCAUCCAUUAUCCACUUAUUAUCUGACUAAAAUCCACCUAUCUAUUUAUCUAUCCAUUUUCUAUCAUCUAUCUGCCUGCCUGCCUGUCUGUUUGUCUAUGUACCUACCUACCUGUCUGUCUGUCUAUCUAAUCUAUCUAUCUAUCUAUCUAUCUAUCUAUCUAUCUAUCUAUCUAUCUAAUCAAUCAUACACAUCUGAUGGUUGGGGGACAACUGUGUGAGUUAGCUGUCUUUUUCCACCAUGAGGGUCAUGGGGUACAGGUACCUUCACUUGCUGAACCAUUUCUCCAGCUCCUUCUUCUCUCUAAAAGCCACUGUCCUUUUGUGUUGGACCCACCCUACUGUGUUUCAACUGCACAGCAAUGAUCUCUCAACAAUCUGCUUCCAAACCAGGCUGUGUUCUGAGUUCCUGGCCUUAGGACUUGAGACCCAGAGCUGCGCCCAUGUCAGUCAGCUUCCUGUUGCCUUGACAACGUAGAGCAAGGAGAGGUUAGCUUUGGCUCACAAGUUUUAGUCCCUGUCUACUCCGUCCCAUCAUUUCCAGGCUGAGGUGGGCAGGAUAUCAUGGUGGAGACUCACAGUGGAGGAAAGCUGCUGCUCACCUCACGGUGACCAGGAAAAGGAGGGAGAAGGGGAGGCAAGGAAGGCGGGAAGAGCUGAGGACCGUAUAUCCCCUUUAGGGCACACCUCCAGUGACUCCCUACUCCCUGCUAAGCUGCUCCUCCAGUGACCCCCAUCUCCCAGCCGGUCACUCAGCUAUGAGUCCAUCGGUGGAUGACCCGAUAGCCAGGUCAGAACCCUCGUGACCCAGUCAGUUUUGAGCACUGCCACACUGGGGACCAAGCCUCAGCACGUAAGCCUUAAGGGACAGGGACACGCCCGAUCCAAAUCGUCACAAUCCCUAAACACACCGUGGUGGUUUGUUUAUGGUGGCUCUAUGAGGCAGGUUGGAAUUUAUGCUAUUUGGCAGACAGGUAAACUGAGGUUCAGGGAGGGGAAGACUUCAUCCAAAGUCAUAGACCCAGCUGUGCAUCAUGGUUACAUCAAGACUGGGUAUCAUCAGCCACCCCUGUGCUAUCUAACUGCCCGCUCGCUGCAGGCACUGCCCUCCUGGGUUACAUCCCCACCUUAUAAGUCAGGAAACUGAAGCUCCCUCUGAGAAAUGCCAAUGAGGCCGUACUGCUGCUGAGACUGAGCUGAGGAGCCUCCAGGUCUGCACUAUCUCUCUGGUCUGUCGGUCUCCACCAGGGAAGCCAGCAGGCACUCACUAUACUAUGGUGGGCAGAGUCACACACAGUAGUCUACAGAGGGCUGUAGCUUUAAGGCGAUCUGACUUCUGAUGCUCCUAUUUACCAAAGCGUGGAGGGCUUGCAUGGAAAUUACAUGUCCUCUGUGGGGACUUUUCCCCCAGGCUGUGGCUAUGUAGCUCAGGCCUCUCUCCUGCUACUGGGCAGUGGUAGCAAGCUAUAAGGCCAGCCUGCCCCAUGGUGUUGAGGGGGGAAACUCACAGGCUACACAGAGGUGUGCAUCUGAGCUGGGGUGUCCUGUAGAAUCAGGCACUCAGAGCAUCAUCACAGUCCUGCUUUGGGCUCAUGCUGGAGUUGACGGGGAUGCGAUCCCAUCAGAAGCUGAGGAGGGUUAGAAUUGCUUUGUAUUGUGGAUCAAACCAUAUGUCACAUGCAUGUCACACAUCACUGCUCACAGGACACCAAUCAAAUCACAUCAUUCGUAUCAUAUCAUGCCACAUCCCAACAGUCACAUCACACCAUGUCUGUCUCAUAUCACACAUAACCACAGAGGGCUGCGAUCCAGAAGCAGCUCUGUCUGUCCAGCCACUGGGCUCUGCAGAGUCCCAGCCCCGCCCACUCCACUCCAGCCCCGCCCACUCCAGCAGCACUGUUCCCAUUCCCCGCCACACACCAUCAGGACUCACUGUCAUUUUGCGUCCUGGAAGCAGCUCACACUCACGUUCAGUUCAGAGGGCUCCCCGAUAGCAAGUCUUUAUCCAGACCAGCCAAGCCACAAGGUUAAAUCUGAAGCUGAAAGGAGCAGGCCUCAGCUCUCACACAGCCGGCCGAGUCCGGCUGGGCAAAUGUCUUUAUCCGAGCACAUGAGGAACCCCAGAGGCCUGUGCUGUCAAUAACAGACCCAGCGGUGCCAAGUCCUUGGACUGUGUCUCUAGCCCGGGGUGGUUUUAUGCUGGAAAAAAUGUCACCAGGGAGAAAAGCCCGCAUUGUCAACAGGCCCACCUCCCACAGCUGCCUUUCCCAUUGAGGGAUGCUUCAGGGACCCUCCGGGCCUGGAGACCGAGUCCUGCCGUUCAUGUGACCCUAGUGGUGGGAGCAUUGUGGCUCAGUGUUUGCUGAGCGCUUACUCUCUUGUGGACUGGUGGAGGCGGGGAGCAGAGACGGUACAACAGAAACCUGUUCCAUUGGGGCUGCACUGGGCAGAGGCAGCUUCGUGUGGGGAGCUUGUGCUUAGCCACGCCCAUCUAUAUCUGACUUUUUCAAGACAAGCGUGGGUUCUUUCCCAACAGGGUAUGAGGACCAAAAGAGUUAAUAGGACCCGGCUGGGAUCAUCACAAAGCCAGAGAUACAGAAGGGCUGAAUGGGGGAAUCUAGAGAAGAGAACCCACUGGGAAAACCACCCUGAAUGGUGUAAAGUUACAGACAACAUUUAGCCUGGAGGGCUUCACUUGUCCCCCACACAGCCUGUCGAGGUGUGAUCUCAUGCCCGGGAGGCUCAGGAGGAAGGUUGGUGGCACUGCACAGAACACAACAGCAGGGGCUGGCAGAGGGUCAGGGCAGCUUGCAGGUGAGACACAAAAAUGCAAGGAAGGAAAGUCAGUUGCUGCCUGGUGUCCCCACAGGCAGGAUGGGUGCCAUCUCCAGAUCUAAGCUCACAGAUAUUCAGUAACUAUGUGGGUUAAACAACAGUGUCAGUCAGGACAGAGGAAGAGCCCGAGUCCAACGAUCCAGCAGCUCCUUGAAGGGCUACUGCCUUUGUGCUCUGGCCUGGAGCACCCUGCUCCCUCCCCCGGGGCACUAGUGCCCUAAGGUGUGCAAUUUAAUCUCUGGGUGUCCAGUUCUCUGCCUUACUCCAAGAAGGGGGUCAGUGGGGUGAGGCGCAGUGUUAGCAUAAAUUAUUGACCCAGAGCACAGCAGCCUCAGGAGGGGUUUGGGGGCAGGCAGCCUUGGAAGCCAGAGCACAGCUGGUCAGAGAGCCCAGGGGAGUCCAGGAUAGCACCAUGGCUGGGUGGUUGAGUGACCUCAAAUGAGCUGCCCCUGAAUUCCAGGGGAUUUGCUCCUAUGAUAGCCCCCCCCCAUAUCUGUCACUCUUUAUAAUUUCAAGCAGGUGGCCAGACUAUGACAUUUAGGCAGAAACAAGAAUGACCUUCAGGGGCUGGAGAGAUGGCUUAGCCGGUAAGAGGACUGACUGCUCUUCCAGAGGUCCUGAGUUCCAACUUUGCAACCACAUAGUGGCUCACAACCACCUGUAAUGAGAUCUGACACACUCUUCUGGUGUGUCUGAAGACAGCUACAGUGUACUUACAUAUAAUAAAUAGAUAAAUAAAUAAAUAAAUCUAUCUAUCUAUCUUUGGGUGGAAACAAUAGGGGCCAGAGAGAGAAGAAAAAGUGUUAGAAGACAGCUACAGUGUACUUAUAUAUAAUAAAUAAAUAAACAUUUUUAAAGAAAUCAAAGGUACACUAUGUAGAUGGGAGAAAUCUCUGUGGUUGCAAGGGGCUCACACAGCAAGGGGAUGAACAAUGGGGACAGAGUCUGAGGAACGGAGUGAGUUCUUUAUUGUGCCUGGCAGUUGUCACCAUUGAAGACUGUACAAGAGGGAGCCCUCAGCCAGCCACAGGCCUCAGUAAUACAUACAUCGCCACUAAGCUGCUCCAAUAGGAUUCCCGAGGACCUGAAGCCCAGCAGGAAUGCUCUACUUUCUGCUCACUUUUUUUUUUCUAGACAGAAAGCUUUCCCCAAAGUCAAGUCUAGCCCUGUGCAGAAAAUGAUAAACACCCCGAGUAAGCCAGAAGGAGCCGCUACAGCAAGGCCACACUCUGUCCAUUGCUAUGAUAAAGACCAUGACCAAAAGCAAACAGAUCAGGACAGGAACCUGGAGGCAGGAGCUGAUGCAGAGGCCAUGGAGGGAUGCUGCUUACUGGCUUGCUCAGCCUGCUUUCUUAUAGAACCCAGGGCUACCAGCCCAGGGAUGCUCCACCCACAGUGGGCGGGGUGGGUGGGGCACCACGCCCACCCACACCAACAGUCAAUCAUCAACCAAGAAAACACCCUACAGACUUCUGCACAGGCCAACCUGAUAUUUUCUCUAUCGAGGCUUCUCUCCCCGGAUG